UAGGUGUGGUCCAUGGGAAACUUACAAAG
rnacentral:piRNA from 1 species